GAAGACAAAAUAAAGAGCACAUGUUAGUAACAAUGAUGCUGUCCUCAACAAGCUAUUAUUCUAAAUAUGUGAAAUAGAUGCUAUUGCCGUUCAAAUUAAAUGAAUAGACCAUUUUUUUCAAGCUUUCCAAGGGAAUUGAAGGCAGUGAAGAAAACUUAUACAAGCUAGGAUCACUCCUUAAAAACCAAAAAGAUGUAAUCAAGUCAUCAAGGGAGUUUCGAAAUGCCCCUCCCGCG
rnacentral:lncRNA from 1 species